rnacentral:rRNA from 1 species
ACUCCUACGGGAGGCAGCAGUGGGGAAUAUUGCACAAUGGGGGAAACCCUGAUGCAGCCAUGCCGCGUGUGUGAAGAAGGCCUUCGGGUUGUAAAGCACUUUCAGCGAGGAGGAAAGGUUGGUAGCGAAUAACUGCCAGCUGUGACGUUACUCGCAGAAGAAGCACCGGCUAACUCCGUGCCAGCAGCCGCGGUAAUACA